AUGACUAGACAGCAAAGUUUAUGGGAACACUACAUUAAUAUUCCUGACACUAUGUCGCCUAUUCUCAAAAAAACAAAACAAAACAAAACAAACCCUCACUUCAUCAUUCCAUUGAGAAUAGCUGUCAUCCAAUAUUUCUCCUCUCUUUUCUGUCUGAACUUCUUAAGAAAACUGUCUACUCUCUGUGCCUCCACUUUCUCUUUUCUUACUCUUCUCUUCAAUCCCUUCAUUCUGACUCCUGACUUCAUCAUUCAAAUGAAAGUUUUCUACAAGGUUACUAAUGAUUUUUAUUUGCCAAAUCCAGUUAUCAUUUCUCUAUCUUCAUCUUUCUUAACUUCUCUAUUGUCAUUGACACUUUUUAUUAUCCUAGACACCUUAAUACUCUCUUUUCUAGGUUUUCAUGAUGCUAUUCUCUUUUGUUUUUUUUUCCAAAAGGGAAAAACAGAAACCAAAGUUAUGUCCUAG
rnacentral:lncRNA from 1 species